CAUAGAGUUUCGUAUUAGAUAAAGAACUUGAUCAAUAUUAAGUAGGAAAAAGAUAGAGUAAAUGUGUUUGUAAUAUUUAGUCCUCCCUCUAAAAUGCUCCCCAUUCUUCUCGUUCUAAAACAUCAACAAGUGCUCCAUUUGUAACAUAAAACUCAUUUAAAAAAAUAUUCCAUUCUCCUCCCUCUAAAACAACUCCCCAUUCUCCUCGUUCUAAAAGAUCAACAAGCUAGUACUCCAUUUGUAACAUAAAACCCAUUCUAAAAAAUUUCCCAUUCACCUCACUGUAAAAAACUCUACAUUCUCCUCGUUCUAAAAGACCAACACGUACUCCAUUUGUAACAUAAAACUCAUUCUAAAAAACUCUCCAUUCUCCGCACUCUAAAAAAAUCUCCAUUCUCCUCGUUCUAAAAGAUCAACAACCUAGUACUCCAUUUAUAACAUAAAACUCAUUCUAAAAAAACUUCCCAUUCAC
rnacentral:lncRNA from 1 species